rnacentral:rRNA from 1 species
AUUGUGUGUGAAAGUUUCCAAGGGCGCAUGGUGGAUGCCUUGGCAACAGGAGCCGAAGAAGGACGUGGGAAUCUGCGAUAAGCCUGGUGGAGUCGAUAACCGGACGUUGAGACCAGGAUUUCCGAAUGGGGAAACCCCGCACGACGUGUCGUGUGACCCCCGGUUGAACACAUAGACCGGGUGGAGGGAACGUGGGGAAGUGAAACAUCUCAGUACCCACAGGAAGAGAAAACAAAAGUGAUUCCGUUAGUAGU